rnacentral:rRNA from 1 species
CCUACGGGUGGCAGCAGUGGGGAAUAUUGCACAAUGGGGGAAACCCUGAUGCAGCGACGCCGCGUGCGUGAAGAAGGAAUUCGUUAUGGAAAACUCUAUCAGCAGGGAAGAAAAUGACGGUACCUGAGUAAGAAGCCCCGCCUAACUAUGUGCCAGCAGCCGCGGUAAUACGGAGGGGGCAAGCGUUAUCCGGAUUUACUGGGUGUAAAGGGGGCGUAGACGGCAGUGUAAGUCUGGAGUGAAAGGCGGGGGCUCAACCCCCGGACUGCUCUGUAAACUGUUCGGCUGGAGUGCAGGAGAGGUAAGUGGAAUGCAUGGUGUAGCGGUGAAAUGCGUAGAUAUUAGGAGGAACACCGAUGGCGAAGGCAGCUUACUGGACUGCUACUGACGUUGAGGCUCGAAAGCGUGGGGAGCAAACAGGAUUAGAUACCCCUGUAGUC